CAUGGAACUGUAUGAUUUCUAACAGCCCCUGGAACUGAAGAAACAAGUGCCAAAAACUCAUGCAAAAAAAGUAUUUUUACUUUAUUUCUAGACAGAAUGCACACAAGGAACACUAAAAAUCUUGGAGGAGGAGACUGAGUUUUAAAGUCAGCAUAUUACAGUAAGAAAUCCAAGCAGUUCCACAAAGUAUGAUGUCUGCAGUGGUUCUCUUCUCAAUGGACUUCUUGCCAACCAUUUUUCUGCAGCUACCCACUGAGGGGUGCUAGGCUGUCAAACAGAUAUUCCUUCAGUUGUGCAAUAGACUGUCAAAAGACUAGUUAUUUUGGA